UAAUAUUUCAGAAAAGGCCAAAUUUCUCAUUUGGCUUUAUCUCGAUGAUGCUCUUCCGACUUAGAUCUUUCGGCAUAUAUAGGUGCAGUUUGGCAGUUAAUGAGAUUUCACGAAAGGGCGGAAUCAGUUGCUCACACUACAUUAGAGAUCGUGGCAAAGCUAAGGUUGUAUGGAAUACUCUUGAUCCUUCCUUAUUGAGAAAUGCUAGUUUAGAUUUUUUUAGAUGCCUGAAUUCAAAAGGUUAUGCGUGAGAACUGCUAUCUUGUCGCUAUUGGUUUGUGGUGGAUUUGGCAGGAUCGGUCAUCGGUGCAAUGAUAUUUUUGUUUCGGAUGAGGCUUCGGCGGUCAACAAGGUGGGUUUUUUUACUAAGAAAAUGACGCAUGAAUUUGAAAGCAUUAUGACGAAGAAAAUGAUCUUCGUGCCUGAGAUGCAAAAGAAGAUUUGGACCCUCCCUCGGUCAAACUUCUUCAAGUUGAAUAGUGACACCAGUAUUGGUCAUGCCGGAACUAUAGCAGGGUUUGGUUACGUUCUUAGUGAUUCUGAAGGAACUUGGGUUAAAGGUUGCCUUAGGACGUUGCCAGAGUAGAGUGUUUUCAGAUGUGAGUUUUUUGGUCUUUGAAAGGGUAUGAUUUUCUUCACAUCCAGCAACUUAUUGCUCAAACAAGAGGGAGACCUUGUGAUGAAAAUUCAAGAGCUUGUCAUUAGCAAUUGGGAAGUUUACUUUGAUCUGGUGCAUCAUGAAGUUAAUAGUAUUGGUGAUUACAUGGCUAAGCGUGGAGCUCGAGGGUCACUUGAUGUUGGCCACCGUGGAGAGUUCGGCGAGGAACAAAAUCUUCUCUGACAAACUCUCUGCAUUUCUAUAUCCACACUCUCAGCUCACGAAUGAAGGAAGCUGUAAUUAGUAGAUUCUACCAUCACCAUGAAUUACAACAAAAAUUCUUACAAUGUUGUUCUCGAACUAAACAUAGCCUAAGAAAGCAUGAGAAAAGAAGUUACCCAAUCAAGAAGAGAGAAGAAUUCAUCUGUGGGGUUGGUAAGCGUAUUGCUCUUCCCACUAACUAUUUCCAAAGCGACUAUUCCAAAACUAUAAACAUCAGCUUUGUCCGUCAAAUA